UCAGAGGGUCGGACGGCCGCCGCGCCAGGGUUCGAAAGAACGGCGGGGAGGAAAGUCCGGGCUCCACGGAUAGACGGUGCCGGGUAACGCCCGGCGGGGGUGACCCCAGGGAAAGUGCCACAGAGAGCAGACCGCCAAGCGGCUUCGGCCGGAAGGCAAGGGUGAAAGGGUGCGGUAAGAGCGCACCGCGCGACCGGCAACGGAAGCGGCACGGCAAACCCCACCGGGAGCAAAACCGAAUAGGGGCGGCGCAUGGCUUAUCCGGCCGGACCGCCCGGGUAGGUUGCUGGAGGCGGCGCGCAAGCGUCGUCCUAGAGGAAUGGUCGUCGCUGUCCUUCGGGGCGGUACAGAACCCGGCUUACAGAUCCUCUGACCGU
rnacentral:RNase_P_RNA from 1 species